rnacentral:lncRNA from 1 species
CAAUGAAUAGAGACCUACGCUUGGAAUCAGGAACACCAGAGUUCAAAUCUAGCCUAUCACACUAGUUUCAGUGAUUCUGGGUUAGGAAACUGAGAUCCAAAGAAAUGACAUGAAUUGUCCAGUAUGAACAUUGGACUCUGCUCCUGCAUCCUCAAUCCUGGGGCCCUGGUGACCAAGAAUGAACAAGAUGUCCAAGUUUAAAAUUUAUUGGUUUUAAGACAGCUGGAAGUUUAUUAGUUUCAGAAGAUUGGAAGCAAGGAAAAGUUUCUUCUGUGGAAAAAAAAAAAUGACCUCUAGAAGAAGGAUAAAUAGACGUGUUCUGAAUGCAUACAUGUGUUGAAAUAUGGACAUGAAUAUUCAGAAAUUCCUCCAAACGUCUUCAUGUUCCAAUGGAUUUUGAAUGCAGAAAAAAUGAACCUGGACUUGAUUGGAAGAAAGGAAAACAAGGUGAAGAUAAGAGUUCAAGAAGACAUUAUCUUACUGUUCUAGUACUAGUCAUUUUCAUUCUUUUCUAGUUUAGGUUUGCUCUAUUCUCCCAUUUUAACAGUAGAAGACAUUAUUUUCAUUUUAUGUAUGAAGUUCUGCCAAAUGUAAAGAAGAACAUAUGUCCCUCUCUUUGCCCUUACCCCUGUUUCCAAGUGAGAAGUUAGUUUUAAAUCUCUGGGUAUUGUUCUCUUCAUAAUAAAAAGUCACAUUUUCA